AUCAUCUCCAAUGUGUCUGUUAGAAGAUACAAAAAAAUGUUAUUGAUUCUCAGGUUUCACCUCUUUUUAAAACAUUAUUGUCAUUAACUGUCAACACAAUUUAAAAGAGCUUAAUUUUUUACACUAAAUUCCAGAUUCAAUCACAUACAGAGAUUAAUUAAACGAAUCCAAAACAUUUUAACAGAAACUGAAUAGAUAAUAUCCAGCUGAUUAUGAAUGUGCAAGGGAUAUUGAAGCUGAGACCAUUUGUUUACUGUACAAUUGUGUGGCAGAUGAAAUAUGUGAAAAGUUCUAGAAAUCGCCUUUUCUUUUAUUCAAUAUUAGACUUCGGUUCACAAUAUCCGUCCAUCAGUCCACAAUAAUUGUAGCUAAGAAAGACAAUUAAUUUGACCUUACGUUUGAAACCAAAAUUAAAUUACAGUCAUAUAGUGGCUACAAUUAGAUUUUAAUUAAUGGCCGUUCAUUCGUGCAAUUAACAGGUCCACAUGGAUUAGUAAAUGGUUUCUUUGUUUAGAGUUGGUUUAACAUUCAAGAUGGUUGGGUUUAUCAAUCUCCAACUGGAUAUAACAUUAUAUAAUAGUAAUGAAGAAAAUCCUAAUCUCAAUUUGUGUGAACGGACAACUGAAUCUCUUCUUGUGUUUCUCGAUGAAAUUUAUAAAAAUCGUGUUAUAUUGAGUUCCAUGUGAAGCAACUUCAGAGGCUAAUCAAUUGCCAACUCUUACAGAUAAUCUGAAGAUUUGGUUUUGGUGCUUCUUGAUUCAUUUAUUCUCCUUAAAGAUGAUUAAUACGUCUGCCAUUGUGUUCAGUGGGAAAUUUUCUUCGAUGACCAUCCUGAUUCCUAUCCAAUUUAAUGUCUCAAUUGGUAAUACUUGGCAAUAGAGCGAUUCUAAUAACCAGAUUGAAUUAAUGGUCAAUGAACAGGGAUGAGGAGCAAUAAUGACCAAAGCAAGAAAUGAAAGUGGAAAAAGCCAAACAAAGAAAGCAAAGUAAAGCAAUCUGAAUUGGUAUUUUGGAUUCUCAUGGUUAUGAGAUAAUUAUGAGAAUGCUCAGAGUGGUUGUUGAUGGUUAACAAACAGAAGGGUGAAAGCAAAAGAGGUAACUGAUUACAACUAUCUGAUUACAUAUUUCAGUUAUGUUAUCAAUGAACAAAAAAGUGAAUAAAGGAACACACAAACAGGGAAAAAAUUAAUCAAGAACUUGAAUGGCAAAGAGUUAACUGUAUAAAAAAGGAAAUGAUAGUUAACAUUUGAUUUUGUUGGUUAGCGUUUGCUUUUUUGUAUUCACUCUAAUGUAAUCAUUGGAAUGAAUGGUUAACCUUAAUAAAUUAUUUUAGUGUCACAA